ACCACGUCCCUGCAUACUUGAUCAUCACCUGUGCCACCAGAAGCCACCACAGCUUUUGGGCACAACCUGAAGACCCUCACAGUCACCUUCCCCAUCUCCACCCUCUGGUAUUCAUCAGACAGGAGCAAUGGCUCAGCCACGUUCAACUCCAUUGAGAUGGUCCUGCAGAGCCUGCUGGAUCUUUGUUCAAGAGGAGCAGCCUGGGUCCCUUCUACUCGAGUUGCAGACUGGUCUCCCUCAGGCCUGAGAAGGAUGGGGCAGCCACCAGUGUGACGCCGUCUGCACCCACCACCCUGAUCCCGUGGGCCACCAUGCCUCUGUGCUGGGAGCUGAGAGUCUCCACCUGUCUGCUCUUCCUCUCGGUGGCUCCAGGCUCUGCAGCCCAGAGUUUAUCCAUCCAGAGAGAGCACCAGCUACAUUUCCGCAUCAUCGUCGGGAACCUCAGCAACCUGGAGCCCACAUCC